rnacentral:lncRNA from 1 species
CAGAUGGGGAGCAGGUUAACUUCCACUUUACAGGUGAGGAAAUUGGGUCUCGCAUUCCACAGCUUCUUGCCAGGAUGGGGCAGAAUGGAGCUUCAACCUCUAUCAGAGCUGCUCAUCUUGAGGAGGAAAGAACUACAUUCAGAGGUUAGCUACUGGUACCGCUCUGAGUCACUGGGAGAUUGUUCUGCCAUUUCCAUCUCUCUACCCAAACAAGAGUUGACGUUGGAUUUUCUCCAAACAACUGAGCAGCUGCCCCUUUCUCUUUGUGGAACAAGGAGCUCUGAAGACUUCCCAUAUCAUAUCCAGGCUCUCCUGGAUAUUUAUCCGUGUUAAGGAAUUGUAUAGAGGGGUCCUGAGGAGAAAAAAGAGAUCUGUUUCCCAUUUUCCAAGUAAUUGAUUCACAUGUGUAUUCU